rnacentral:rRNA from 1 species
UACGUAGGUGGCAAGCGUUAUCCGGAAUUAUUGGGCGUAAAGAGCGCGUAGGUGGUUAAUUAAGUCUGAUGUGAAAGCCCACGGCUUAACCGUGGAGGGUCAUUGGAAACUGGUUGACUUGAGUGCAGAAGAGGGAAGUGGAAUUCCAUGUGUAGCGGUGAAAUGCGUAGAGAUAUGGAGGAACACCAGUGGCGAAGGCAGGUCUCUGGGCCGUUACUGACGCUGAGGAGCGAAAGCGUGGGGAGCGAACAGG